GGAGGAGAAAUUCUAUUUCUCAACUCCUUGUAUUUAACCCAAAACAUUUCCCUCCAAAUUGGUGAAAAAUGGAGAGAAAUGAGUGUUUAAAUACUUAAAUGUCCUUCUACUAUAUAAUGGGUAUAAGAAAAAAUGAGGAUAUAAUAGUUAUUUUCCCUUUUUUAUUUUAAGGGAGAAAUUAUUUUCUCUUCUAUUCUAAUAAUCUAUCCAAACAACACAAAGUAAAUUAAAUUUUCAAUAAUUUUUUUUCUCUUCAUUUUCCUUGUUUAAUUUCUCUUAAUUUCCCUUGCACAAUUAAGGAUCCA
rnacentral:misc_RNA from 1 species